GAGAAAAGCUCUUCUAUUCCCAUUCCCUUCUUUUUUUUCCUAUUUUCCCUUUCUCUCAAUACCCUAUUUCUCCUCUCUUCUACCUAGCAAUGAGAUGAAGGAUUUUUCCUUCAAAUUGAAGGGAUUUAGGAGGAAAACCUUUGGAGAAGGAGACCCAUUUUCAAGCUGAAACUCGAGCUAGAGAACAAAGCAUGGCCUUUGAGAUGAGAUCGGGCGAGGCGACGACUAUAGUUAGCUAGUAGCAUGUUGAUCGUCUACAUUUUUGUAUUAUGUAGAUCUUAUCUUUAUAUUUUGGACAAUCAUUUUGGAUAUGUAUUAGGCCAUAUUGGGACUAUGAAUUGUACAAACUUGCUACUUGUUAAGUUGAGGGCAUAACCAUUUAGAAGUUUUAUGUAUGCUUAAAUGGAAUGGUAUUUUGGAUAACCAAUCGUUAUGUUGGUAACUUUGGGAUGUUU